UCCAGUCCCACAGACCAGGUGAACUUAGAAGGGACUUCAGAACUGUUAAAGAUGAAUUUUUAAAUCACCUAUGUAAAGAGGGAAAAACUUGCACAUUUAAGUGAAUAUUGGUAAGAACACUUAAUAACUUAC